rnacentral:piRNA from 1 species
UGUGUUAAACGCUUGGUCCCAGCUU